rnacentral:rRNA from 1 species
UACGUAGGGUGCAAGCGUUGUCCGGAAUUAUUGGGCGUAAAGAGCUCGUAGGCGGUCUGUCGCGUCUGCUGUGAAAACUCGGGGCUUAACCCCGGGCCUGCAGUGGGUACGGGCAGACUAGAGUGCGGUAGGGGAGACUGGAAUUCCUGGUGUAGCGGUGAAAUGCGCAGAUAUCAGGAGGAACACCGGUGGCGAAGGCGGGUCUCUGGGCCGAAACUGACGCUGAGACGCGAAAGCGUGGGGAGCAAACAGG